rnacentral:rRNA from 1 species
CCUACGGGAGGCAGCAGUGGGGGAUAUUGGACAAUGGGGGAAACCCUGAUCCAGCGACGCCGCGUGAGUGAAGAAGUAUUUCGGUAUGUAAAGCUCUGUCAGCAGGGAAGAAAGAAAUGACGGUACCUGACCAAGAAGCCCCGGCUAACUACGUGCCAGCAGCCGCGGUAAUAUGUAGGGGGCAAGCAUUAUCAGGAAUUACUGGUUGGAAAGGGAGCGUAGACGGUGAGGAAAGUCUGGGGUGAAAGGCGGGGGCCCAACCCCCGGCCUGCUCUGGAAACUGUGUAACUUGAGGGCGGUGGAGGUAAGCGGAAUUCCUAGUGUAGCGGUGAAUGCGUAGAUAUUAGGAGGAACACCAGUGGCGAAGGCGGCUUACUGGACUGUAACUGACGUUGAGGCUCGAAAGCGUGGGGAGCAAACAGGAUUAGAUACCCCUGUAGUC